GACGAACGCUGGCGGCGUGCUUAACACAUGCAAGUCGAACGAAGAGCGAUGGAAGCUUGCUUCUAUCAAUCUUAGUGGCGAACGGGUGAGUAACGCGUAAUCAACCUGCCCUUCAGAGGGGGACAACAGUUGGAAACGACUGCUAAUACCGCAUACGAUCUAAUCUCGGCAUCGAGGAUAGAUGAAAGGUGGCCUCUACAUGUAAGCUAUCACUGAAGGAGGGGAUUGCGUCUGAUUAGCUAGUUGGAGGGGUGACGGCCCACCAAGGCGAUGAUCAGUAGCCGGUCUGAGGGGAUGGACGGCCACAAUGGGACUGAGACACGGCCCAGACUCCUACGGGAGGCAGCAGUGGGGAAUCUUCCGCAAUGGACGAAAGGCUGACGGAGCAACGCCGCGUGAGUGAUGACGGCCUUCGGGUUGUAAAGCUCUGUUAAUCGGGACGAAAGGCCUUCUUGCGAAUAGUGAGAAGGAUUGACGGUACCGGAAUAGAAAGCCACGGCUAACUACGUG
rnacentral:rRNA from 1 species